CCGGAAGGAAGGCCAUGAUUUCAGCUCUCUGGGAUUUGAGACAAAGAGGCCCCUUUUCUUUCAUUUUAUCUUUUCAUGUCUCUUCUUGCCAUGUACCCACAUGAUUGAGUGUGGGCUGAGGGUGAAUCCAAGAAGGGCUUUGUUUUGUGGUCAGUACAGGCUUUGGUCCACAGAGACAACAAUACUUUCAAUACUCUUUUGUUCUGCCCCAGAGGAGCUCAACACAGAAUUGCCUAGAACAAGAAACUGGAAUUGUACAUGGCGAUCAUCAGCAGUAUGAAGAGGAGCUGUGGGGCCAGUGAGAGAAGCUGCAGCCUGUUGAGACUCCACAAGACUGAAGAUAUGAAAAGAGGAAAUAUGCAUGAAUGCCCGCACGGAGAACCACCCCCACCUGCUGCUCCCGCUCUAAUGAUCACGCCCAUUAUCAACUGGGGGAUGGCUCUGUGCCUUGUCCUUGCAUUACAUGGACCAAGAACACUUCACAGGACUCAGAGAGGCAAAAAUAGAUACAAAAGAAGAAGGAAUUACAGAAGAAGUCACAUAACAUUAUUGCCUACAACUGACUGUUUACCUUGAAUACUUGAAGACCAGAAUGAAGAUUCUUGGGGUGAAGAAUUACAGCCUUAGCAUGGAGCAGGCCUCGGUGCAUCGGCUUUCAGCUAGGCAUGCCUGCCAAUGUUCAACGUCCUCCUGGGAUACGGAAGGCACCGUGAUAGACAUCUGGGCAAGUCAACAGGAAGGUGGAUAUCCAAAUCUCUCUCUUCGCAAUGAGUUUCCAGUUAGAUGGAGGAGAGAGUAAUAAAACACAGAGCUGAGAUUCCUGACUUCACAGAUCCCUGAGGAGAUGUUUACUAAAGGGAAUCUUCUGGUCACUGUUACCUUCCUCCGUACUUACCUGCCUCAUGGAGAACCCGAAAGGAAGAAGCUAUACGACUGGGGACACAUGUCUUAGAAGCACACUCAUUAGAUAAAGUGUCGCAUACUCUUUGAUAAGGUAAGGCUCCCUGGACGAGAUGUUUUACAGGUACCAUGAGCUCAGUGAAUUGCUUUUGGAAAGACACUCAGCGGAGUGGGCACCACGAGGUUAGGAGAAGCAGCUUCUGCUCGUCAUAACUUUGGCAAAUGUUUACACAUCAGUAAUGAAAAAUAUUCUCUUGGCGAUUUCAGGCUUGUUACUAUGGAUGUUGUUUGCUAACAUUGACUAUUUUUCCUAACUGCUUAUAGAAACUCCAGGCUGUCACCCAUCUGUUCUCUCAUCAAAGUAGUUUUGGGCCAGCAACUAUUUCAGACAUUUCUACAGUUUCAGAUGUCUCACUCUGCCUAUGACUGUAUGUUGUACUUGAGGACUGGACGCACAGGGUAAAGUGCAAAUAGCAAGCAUUCAGGUCCAACUCUCCUCCUUCUGGUUAACAAUAUGAAAGAAAGAGGUAGUAUCGGAAUUAUUUUAGUUCAAUGUAGCCAU
rnacentral:lncRNA from 1 species